UCCCGCUGGUUAUCUUGACGCUGUGCGCACGCAACACAGCCGUAAAAAUGUGUGGCAACGUGGUCGUUGAUAAACAAGAAACGUUAUUUUUUGAAUUCAAUUUAAAUUCGAAGGAAGUAACCAGUUCGUUCUGAGCUUCUUCAAACGCCAGGCCAGCGAUCCUUUGAAAAAGCUCUGUGACUUUGAAGCCAGAGCGCGCUGAAACGGACCAAUAUUCCGCCUGAAGCUCGGCGGCUGCCACUCCUGCCAGUCGUUCCAUGCGUACGAACUCCUCCUUUGUCUGAAAAGAAAACCAAGGGUCGCCUGCUUGCAUUGUAGUUGAGUGCGCUGCUCAGCCACUUUUUGGCCGACUCCAGCGAAUCCUUCUUCGACAUGUCGUGGUACCUACCACUUGCAUUGCGAUAAUAGGCUCCUGCGAUGCACCUGAAACGCUCCUGACCAGCAGUGUCCCACCUGCAAAUAGAACCCAUUUCAAAUCCACACUGAUAACGUCUGCUAGGCAGUCGACCCACAUUUCUAGACUAUAGUUGUGACCCAAAAUGCUGAAGUUCUCCAGCUCGAAGUCCACGCCAAUGGUGGCCUUGUAGUUCGACUGGAAUUUGUCGUAGCAAAAUCUGCCGAUGAUUGUGUAACUUAAUUAACUUCAAAAUGCUUGUAUGCCAUGCCAUGCUCACCGAUUGACGAUGGCCGUCUUGCCCACGGAGCAGUCGCCCACGAAGAUGACCUUGCAGGGUCGGAACUUGGACUUGCGAGGCGCCUCCAGGUGGUAACGCACCUGCGGCCCAAAGUCCCGUUCCCUGCUCAGCGGAGUCUGGGCGGCACUGUAGGCGGGCGGCAGGUGCCGCAGGUGGGUGCGAGGAUCGUGCAUGACCACCGUGGGCGGAUUGGGCAACAGCAGGUUCUGUCGCAGUCGAUGGGGCAUGGCGGACGUCUCUAUUCCAACUAACUGAGCACCUCGAGCUGGGAAAGCCAGCCACGUCGCAGUCGUCGUCAUCGUCAUCGCCGCAAACCACAAACUCGGUCGGCUUGAACUUGGUGGCUAUCACAUGCCCAAGGUGCCGGCAGCUACCUUACACCCCGUGUUUUGCAUUGUAAAUGCAGGUGCUUCUGGAUAAGAGCAGCUCGGGUGUGGGUUAGUUCCGAUAGGAAGAAGGCCUCAAAGUUCCAGCAGAGCUGAGCUCAUAUCACAAGAACUGAACCUUCAAGACCGAAGGAAAAAGACAACGCAGUAGAAAUAUAUUGGUAGUUAGUGCCUUUAUUUGUGUCAAUCAUAAUACUCAUUUAUGUGGCUGAA